rnacentral:lncRNA from 1 species
UUUUAUAGUAAACACAUAGACUUUUCUAACCUUCCUUUGCAGGUGAAUCGUUUUUCACAUUUGAUCUUGCUUUUUCCCUACUACUUCUCUGUACUUUUAUUCAACUCAAGUAUUAAGAGGAUCAAAGAGAAUCAAAAUGGAGAAGAUAAUUCCUUAACUUGGUUUUGUUUUUCAAAAUGAAGCCACAAGCUGGUAGAGGCCAUUGUGCAUGGCUUCAAGGGAAGCCCAGGCUACAAGAGGCUUUUGCACACAAUACAGAACAAUGGUACAAAUCAGAUCAAUCUUGCAAAGUUUCUGAGUGCAAUGUUUGUCCAAUGUUUGUCCACGUGAAUUAUGUUCUCACUAACGCCAGAGCCUGGAAUUCACAUCUGUCCCCAGGACUGGUGAGUUAGGGUUAUGGUCAAAGCUGAGUGUACUGAGGGAUUCCUUAGUCAUAAACAAAGUGUUUGACCCACUCUAUUCCUCAGGGCAAUAGAGAGGCAGAGCUAACUGAAUUUAUACAGUGGGAAUUGAUAGUUUAUUGCUGACCCUGGAGGGACAGGGG